AGUCACUGACAUUAGAUACCCCGGUAGUCCAGGGUGUAAACGCUGCAGACUUGGUGUUGGAGGCCCUUUGGGGGCAUUCAGUGCCGGAGAGAAGUUGUUAAGUCUGCUACUUGGGAGUACGUCCGCAAGGAUGAAACUUAAAGGAAUUGGCGGGGGAGCACCGCAACGGGAGGAGCGUGCGGUUUAAUUGGAUUCAACACCGUAAAACUCACCAGGGAAGACUGUUACAUGAAGGCCGAGAUGAAGACUCUGCUAGAUUUUCAG
rnacentral:rRNA from 1 species